CCGUAGCUAACGCGUUAAGCAUCCCACCUGGGGAGUACGCCGGCAACGGUGAAACUCAAAGGAUUUGACGGGGGCCCGCACAAGCGGAGGAACAUGUGGUUUAAUUCGAUAAUACGCGAGGAACCUUACCCGGGCUUGAAUUGCAGAGGAAGGAUUUAGAGAUAAUGACGCCCUUCGGGGUCUCUGUGAAGGUGCUGCAUGGUUGUCGUCAGCUCGUGCCGUGAGGUGUCGGCUUAAGUGCCAUAACGAGCGCAACCCCUCUCUUCAGUUGCCAUCAGGUUAAGCUGGGCACUCUGGAGACACUGCCACCGUAAGGUGUGAGGAAGGUGGGGAUGACGUACAAAUCAGCACGGCCCUUACGUCCGGGGCUACACACGUGUUACAAUGGCCGGUACAGAGGGACGGUGUAAUGCAAAUUGCAUCC
rnacentral:rRNA from 1 species